AUGAACGCUAGCGACAGGCCUAACACAUGCAAGUCGAGGGGCAUCGGGGCGUAGCAAUACGCUGCCGGCGACCGGCGGAUGGGUGAGUAACGCGUAUGCAACCUGCCUUCAGCAGGGGGAUAGCCCGUUGAAAGACGGAUUAAUACCCCGUAACACAGGGGCUCCGCAUGGAGAUUAUUGUUAAAGGGAUACUUCCUUCGGGGGGUAUUCCGGCUGAAGAUGGGCAUGCGUUCCAUUAGGUAGUUGGUUGAGGUAACGGCUCACCAAGCCUACGAUGGAUAGGGGAACUGAGAGGUUGGUCCCCCACACUGGUACUGAGACACGGACCAGACUCCUACGGGAGGCAGCAGUGAGGAAUCUUGGUCAAUGGACGGAAGUCUGAACCAGCUAUGUCGCGUGAAGGAGGACGGCCCUAAGGGUUGUAAACUUCUUUUGCAGCGGAAUAAAGUAUUCCACGAGAUGGGAUAUUGCAAGUACGCUGCGAAUAAGGAUCGGCUAACUCCGUG
rnacentral:rRNA from 1 species